rnacentral:tRNA from 2 species
GGAAGCUUACCCAAGUGGCUAAGGGGGCACCCUGCUAAGGUGUUAGGUGGGAUUUCCUGCGCAAGAGUUCGAAUCUCUUAGCUUCCGCCA